GCUGACUCUUGGUAUUGAGAUUGGUUCUACUCGGCGUGAUAAUUUGUUGACCGCUGAGGACAUCCCUUUAUUGGGGCGGCCAGACUUGUGCUCGAAUCGCUUCUAAUCCAAUGGUUAAUAGGUUCUUUAUUGAACGUGUUCUCCUUAACUCAUUUUUCACAUUUGACCUCGAAUCAGGUGGGACUACCCGCUGAACUUAA
rnacentral:misc_RNA from 1 species